GAAGUAAAGACAACUUCUUCCUGAUUGCCCACUGGGCCAGGUGUGAAUGUUCUGCAAGACCUAACCUACCCAACCAGUUUGAAUCCAAUGGAAAGCCUGUUGAUGGCCCAUCAGCAGACAAUUAAGUGGGCUGUUUGCUCCGGGCAUAUACUCAAAGUUCUUUGGCGAGAUAAGAGUGGGUGAGGUUUGCUCUGGCGGCUCAUUCUGUCCACAGCGCAUUCUUCCCCACCUUUACUCUCAUUGUUCUUGCCAGCAGAGCCUUCGCUCACUUCAGGUGGUACCUUCAGAAAUUUGAAGACUACCCCAAGUGUAGGAAGACGUUGAUAUCAUUCAUAUUACGAAGCACUACCACGAUCCAACCUUCAACAGCCCUACGCAAAGAGCUGUGACCCUAUGCUACAUCAGCUGCGGUCUGUUUAGGUUAGUUAUUGCUUGUUAGUUUGUGUUUACGUCAAGCGAAGACGUACAAGGAUGAACACUGAGUACUGACAAUCACUGGGAAAAUAUGAAGGGCUCUAGAAUCCACAACACCACUGACAAGAGUUCAUUUAAAGUACCCUGAAGGCUACAAUGACAAAAAGAGGCCAUUUACUUUAAUCAACUUUUAUGUCAGUUUGAUUGAAACACAUCACUGGUGGGAAAAUGUACUAACAUGUUCAUGUAAUGAGGCUUUUUGUUGCUUUUUGCUGCUCUGAUGGGAAAACAUUUUAUUUUAUUAGGAUCCCCAUUAGCUGAUGCCAUAAUGUUAGCUAAUCUUCCUGGAGUCCAACACAGAACUAAAAAGACACUAGAAAAAUUACAAUUUUAAGACCUUACAAACAUUUAACAAGUAGACAUUACGGACAAUUAAAAUACCUGACAGGUAAUACAUUUAACAUUUAGUAGAUGCUGCUAAUGGUGAUGA